AAAGGGAGACCUAAUUCAGGUAAAAGACGAAAAAAAAGUAGUCGCUACCAAGAAUCAAUCCCAAAAGGUCGGAGCGAGGCGAAAUUGGCUUUCAAACUAGGUUCUGGGUUCACACAAGACCUGAAUCAGGAACAAGGGCUAUUAGCUCAGGUGGUUAGAGCGCACCCCUGAUAAGGGUGAGGUCCCUGGUUCGAGUCCAGGAUGGCCCACCUGCACAGGUGGCAAAAACAAAAAAGCUCCGAAUCAGCACCUUAUCUUACUUAUAUAGUAAGAGAGAAUGCUGGCUCUGAGUUCAGAGUCCAGAGGAACCUUGAAAACUGCAUAGAGCUAGGUGAAAAAGCCAAAAAAGAAGACCGUCAG
rnacentral:tRNA from 1 species